rnacentral:rRNA from 1 species
GACGAACGCUGGCGGCGUGCCUAAUACAUGCAAGUUGAGCGCUGAAGGUUGGUACUUGUACCAACUGGAUGAGCAGCGAACGGGUGAGUAACGCGUGGGGAAUCUGCCUUUGAGCGGGGGACAACAUUUGGAAACGAAUGCUAAUACCGCAUAAAAACUUUAAACACAAGUUUUAAGUUUGAAAGAUGCAAUUGCAUCACUCAAAGAUGAUCCCGCGUUGUAUUAGCUAGUUGGUGAGGUAAAGGCUCACCAAGGCGAUGAUACAUAGCCGACCUGAGAGGGUGAUCGGCCACAUUGGGACUGAGACACGGCCCAAACUCCUACGGGAGGCAGCAGUAGGGAAUCUUCGGGCAAUGGGACGAAAAGUUCUGACCCGAGCAAACCGCCCGGCGUGGGUGAAAGAAAGGUUUUUCGGAUUCGUAAAAACUUCUGGUGGUAGAGAAAGAAACCG